rnacentral:lncRNA from 1 species
GAUCGGCUCCAGUUGGGGCACAAUCGGUAGUCGCUGUCGGUGCCGUCCGCCGUCGGUCGGGAGGAGUUGGUCGGCCGGAUGGAGUCGGUCGGUCGGUCGGAGUCGGUCGGAUCGGAUGGAGUCGGUCAGUCGGUCGGAUCGGAUGGAGUCGGUCGGUCGGUAUAUCCCAACAGGGAGAAAGAUUAGAGAGAAAUUAGACGAAGAGAGACAGAGAUCGGGAUGGAGAGAGACGAGAAAGAGGAUAGUGAGAAAGGAGGG